UACGUAGGGUGCAAGCGUUAAUCGGAAUUACUGGGCGUAAAGCGUGCGCAGGCGGUUUUUUAAGUCUGCUGUGAAAGCCCCGGGCUUAACCUGGGAAUUGCGAUGGAGACUGCAAGGCUUGAAUCUGGCAGAGGGGGGUAGAAUUCCACGUGUAGCAGUGAAAUGCGUAGAUAUGUGGAGGAACACCGAUGGCGAAGGCAGCCCCCUGGGUCAAAACUGACGCUCAUGCACGAAAGCGUGGGGAGCAAACAGG
rnacentral:rRNA from 1 species